UACGAAGGGGGCUAGCGUUGCUCGGAUUGACUGGGCUUAAAGGGCGCGUAGGCGGUUCGUACAGUCAGACGUGAAAUUCCUGGGCUCAACCUGGGGGCUGCGUUUGAUACGUGCGGACUUGAGUGCGGAAGAGGGUCGUGGAAUUCCCAGUGUAGAGGUGAAAUUCGUAGAUAUUGGGAAGAACACCGGUGGCGAAGGCGGCGACCUGGUCCGAUACUGACGCUGAGGCGCGAAAGCGUGGGGAGCAAACAGG
rnacentral:rRNA from 1 species